CGUACGAUCCCCUCACCCCCGAUUUUCUUUCCCCCGUCCCAGUCCCACCUCUCGUAGGACCCAUUCGAUUUUCUUUCCCCCAUCCCGGUUUUCUCCCUCUGGCCUGCUCCUCACGCCGGCGUUCCGCGCCGCCGCUGCCGACUGCUCCUCACGCCGGCAUCCCGCGCUGCCGUUGCCGACCUCCAGCCGUCGUCCAAAACAACGGCAGCAUGGAUCCUGAUGUGGAGCUCCACUACGGCCCGAUCUGACCUGGGAGCGACCAGAUCCGUGCGUCUCCGCCUCGCUUCACGCGCCUCCAUGGUCCGCCGUCUUCCCGAGCGCCGGCGCCGCGCUCAGCCGCCGCCGUCCCAUGCCAUGGUAGCCUCCCCUCCAGAACGAUGUGUCAUGGCCGCCUCCCUGCCUCUCCCGCAGAGUUAACUCCCACCCGUACAUGAGCCCCAAGGCACCACGCGAUUCUGAUGAUACACGAACACUGGGUCGGUCCUCUAUCCGGCAGCUCCGUUGGGGAAGCACCAAGAUCCAAACUCCAAGUAUCCGUGGAUAUAGGGAACAGUUAUGGUACAAAUAGACUUGAUUGUACUGACAAUUUUCAGCUUGCACAUGGAUCCCUUAUAGUAUGCAAUCAAGCUUGAUGAUAAAUUCUUGGAGAGACGCUAGGUGCCAGCUGCUCACUGUGCGCAUGGGAUAGGAGGUCAUGCGUGGAGGCUACUCGGAGAGGACUGUAUGCAUGUCCGUGUCCGCGCACUUGGAGCAGCAGCCAAUGGAUGGUCGGCCAGAGGAGGACCAGGGUUGGAGAUUUGGGAUCAGAGACGCCAAGAACAAGGGACCAAGGUGCUGAACUAACGGCACGGGCAGAAUGAUUCUUCAGGUACCAACAUAGUCGUCGACUAGAGAAUUAAGUUAACUGUUUGAUUUACUUGAAGCUCCAAAUUGUAGUUAUUUUAUUCAUUCACUAAUUUGGUAUAAUCCUAAUCUAGGAGGAUUAUCACUGUAUGAUAUGAGAUCUGGACGUUUAGCAAUGAUAAAACUCUGACAUUGGAUGGUUCUUUUCUGAAGUAUAGUUGUAAGAUCUAUGAUUCUAGCUUCGACCUUUAACUGGACAGUACUAAUUGGACAUAUAAUUGAUAAAUUAUGCACAA